rnacentral:rRNA from 1 species
UGAACGCUGGCGGCGUGCUUAACACAUGCAAGUCGCACGAGAACGCUUCAGCUUGCUGAAGUUAGUAAAGUGGCGCACGGGUGAGUAACGCGUGGGUAAUCUACCCUCGAAUUGGGGAUAACAUCGCGAAAGCGAUGCUAAUACCGAAUAAUAUCUUAAAAAUCUCGAUUUUAAAGAUCAAAGGAGGCCUCUACAUGUAAGCUUCUGUUUGAGGAUGAGCCCGCGUACCAUUAGCUUGUUGGUAGGGUAAUGGCCUACCAAGGCUACGAUGGUUAGCUGGUCUGAGAGGAUGAUCAGCCACACUGGAACUGACACACGGUCCAGACUCCUACGGGAGGCAGCAGUGAGGAAUUUUGCGCAAUGGGGGAAACCCUGACGCAGCAACGCCGCGUGAGUGAUGAAGGCUUUCGGGUCGUAAAGCUCUGUCAAGUGGGAAGAACCCACAUGGUGUUAAUACCGCCAUGUGUUGACGGUACCACUGAAGGAAGCACCGGCUAACUCC